UACGUAGGGGGCAAGCGUUGUCCGGAUUUAUUGGGCGUAAAGAGCGUGUAGGCGGCCAGGUAGGUCUGCUGUGAAAGCCCUCAGCUCAACUGAGGAAGUGCGCCCGAAACUGCAGAGCUUGAGUGCCGGAGAGGGUGGCGGAAUUCCCCAAGUAGAGGUGAAAUUCGUAGAUAUGGGGAGGAACACCGGUGGCGAAGGCGGCCACCUGGACGGUAACUGACGCUGAGGCGCGAAAGCGUGGGGAGCAAACAGG
rnacentral:rRNA from 1 species